rnacentral:tRNA from 1 species
UCCCUGGUGGUCCAGUGGCCAAGACUGCACACUUUCAAUGCAAUGGACCUGGGUUCUAUCCCUGGUCAGGGAA